rnacentral:rRNA from 1 species
GAUGAACGCUAGCUACAGGCUUAACACAUGCAAGUCGAGGGGAAACGGCAUUAAGUGCUUGCACUUUUUGGACGUCGACCGGCGCACGGGUGAGCAACGCGUAUCCAACCUUCCCAUGACUAAGGGAUAACCUGCCGAAAGGCAGACUAAUACCUUAUGGUCUUCACUGACGGCAUCAGAUGUGAAGUAAAGAUUUAUCGGUUAUGGAUGGGGAUGCGUCUGAUUAGCUUGUUGGCGGGGUAACGGCCCACCAAGGCAACGAUCAGUAGGGGUUCUGAGAGGAAGGUCCCCCACAUUGGAACUGAGACACGGUCCAAACUCCUACGGGAGGCAGCAGUGAGGAAUAUUGGUCAAUGGGCGAGAGCCUGAACCAGCCAAGUAGCGUGCAGGAUGACGGCCCUAUGGGUUGUAAACUGCUGUUGGAUGGGGACAAAGUCAAUCACGUGUGAUUGUUUGCAGGUACCAGACGAAUAAGGACCGGCUAAUUCCGUG